CUCGCUUGAAACUUGAACUUGAGCACCCGCGUACCGCUUGAUGCGGCGCGCGUCUUAAUAAAUCGAUCUCGUUGGCGUUUUUUCAUAGUGCGAGUUUAAUAAAACUUUAAUAAAACCUCACAGUUAAUCAAACUUAAGUGUCUAGCCUACAUUUCAUCCCGUAACUGGGAAUUACGGCCGGGCUCAGUUUGAGCUAGGACUUAUUGUGGACCGUUCCGGAGGGGACAGAGAAGUGGACAUCACGGCGUCCCACGGGGACCGCAGGAGGCCGCACAGGGGAGUCUGGCACAAGUGUUACGUGGAACCGAUCUUUUUACAACCUACCCACCUGUACCUUAAAAUCAAAUAUUUUUAAACUUAGAUUAAUAAAUUUUGUAAACUUA